UAGGGAAUCUUGCGCAAUGGGCGAAAGCCUGACGCAGCCAUGCCGCGUGAAUGAUGAAGGUCUUAGGAUUGUAAAAUUCUUUCACCGGGGAAGAUAAUGACGGUACCCGGAGAAGAAGCCCCGGCUAACUUCGUGCCAGCAGCCGCGGUAAUACGAAGGGGGCUAGCGUUGCUCGGAAUUACUGGGCGUAAAGGGCGCGUAGGCGGAUAUUUAAGUUGGGGGUGAAAGCCCGGGGCUCAACCUCGGAAUAGCCUUCAAUACUGGAUAUCUUGAGUUCGGGAGAGGUGAGUGGAAUGCCGAGUGUAGAGGUGAAAUUCGUAGAUAUUCGGCGGAACACCAGUGGCGAAGGCGACUCACUGGCCCGAUACUGACGCUGAGGCGCGAAAGCGUGGGGAGCAAACAGGAUUAGAUACCCUGGUAGUCCACGCCGUAAACGAUGAGUGCUAGUUGUCGGCAUGCAUGCAUGUCGGUGACGCAGCUAACGCAUUAAGCACUCCGCCUGGGGAGUCGGUCGCAAGAUUAAAACUCAAAUGAAUUGACGGGGGUCAUAGCUGUUUCCUG
rnacentral:rRNA from 1 species